CUCACUGCUCCCUACAAAGACUGAAAAGGAGGCUGUGGUGAGGUGUUCAGUAGACAUUUACAUCAAGAACAGGAAUCUGGUGACCACAUAAGCAAGUGAUGAGAUAGAAUGUUCAACGGACCACUGUGCCAGCUUUCAUUAGAGAUUGGCAGCAGCUGAGAAGUGGAGAUGUUUGGAGCCAUGUGCACUUGGUGAAGGAUUGCUUCUGCUCAAACCAAGGGCACCAAGCACUGGGAACAAAAAGGUCAGUGCUGAGGAACGGGAAGAAGGUUGAAGAACCAAGUGGGAGACAGGGAAGAUGACAGCUGGAGAAGAGACAUUUCAGAGAAACUUUCUUCACCUGAGGGAUUGAAGAAAAGAGGUCUUUGUCCCACUCAGAGCUCUUCACCCUUUUGUUGCAAUCAUUUUUUCCUUUGUGUGCCAAUGGUCCCAUGGUAAAAACACUGAAAAAGAAAGGGGAGCUUUUCUGUUCUCUGAAAUCCCUUGGAUUCAGAGAAAUCCAAGAGAGAAAAUCCCCUGGAUGCCUAGGUAUGGUAAUGUUUGUCCCUCAUGCUAAGCAAAGAAGUGUCCCUGCUUUAUUCCUACAGCCAAACUUCGGUGUUGAUCUGAAUGACAGAUAGCCAAGCAGAAUUGAACAACACACGGAUAAAUGAUCAGGAUAAAAAGGAUUUUAAUCCAAACAUUCAAAGAUAAAUGGCAAAUUCACUGAAUAUAAUCAGAAGUAUUAGACUGUAAAUCAGUUGCAAAAGCUGCAGUGAAGCACUUGCUCAAGACACUGUGCAGAGCCACUGGGGCGAUGCACGUGCUUAGAAAUGUCAGCAGUCAUUAUCUCAGAAUCACUCCUGUUUGCCAUGUACUGCACAACACUGGCAUUUUAUCACAGUGAAAUUUCUUUUAUUUCUUUUAUUUUAUUUGAAGGAGAUAAGCCACCAUAUUUCCCAGGCAGCAUUUUUUUUUCAUAACACUAUGCUUUCACUGUUGGAAACCUUUUUGCUUUUUGAUCAUUUAUAUUCCACUCACUUUUUCCAGAUUACAAAGAGAUUUCCAUGUCGGGACCUGCACCCAGCCACAUCUCCUGAUGCCCAAAAACACAGGCGCCACUGUAGCAGCCUUCCUUCCUGCACGGCCUCUUCUCUCUGAUAGCCCUGUGGCCUUUGGGCAUACCCCAUGCUGCAGAAGCAAAGGCCCAAAAGCACUUUUGGUGGUUUUCUUCUAUUUUUUUUUUCUCCUUUUGCAGCAGAGUUACAUACCAGGAAUUAAUUUAGCUUUGGCACGUAUAAGUUCCACUGUGUUCCUUUGUGCUGAGCAGCAUGAGUUUUGUUUGGUUGUUUAAUAUUGCCUGAUCUGUUGCACUGCAGUAGAUGAUUAAUCUUUACCAGUUGUGUUAUCGAGCAGUUCCUACCAACUAUGAAUUCAAAUGUCUGCAUUUCCCAUUCUUCCUGGAUAGAAAGGCUGGGCACAUGGUGCAUUUCACUUCUAAUUAUGUAUGUUAGGAUGAAUUAUGUGCUAUUACUCAAAAUAAAUUACCCUUUGAUGUAAGUUCAACACAUGAACGGACGGUUAUAAUUACACCAAGUUGAAACAGAAAUCAGACUCAUUGUGCCUAGUCCAAAAUAAUUGUAUGUGUUUUGAAA